AUUAUGACUACAGAGAACGAUACAUCAUUAUUUUAUGAGGCAAUUAAGAUGAUGGAGAUGGAAAUGAUUGCUUUAUGAACACUACUCAUGUCAAGCAAUCUUCCUUCUCUACAAACAUUCACCAGAAGUGCUUAAUUAAUUGCCUUGCAAAAAUGGUGAUAAACCUAACCGAAUCACCCUCAACUUGUUGUUUCUUUCUCUAACAAGCACCUGACGUGAGUAGUUAGCACUGUUUUAUUGCAAUAAAAGAUGUCCCAAGCACUCCGAUAUAAUCACUGCGCGUAAAGAUCAAGGAGAAAAACACUACAUGGGCGGAUAAAAAAGCAUAUAUAGCUGAUCUUUCUAGGAUGCCCUGUCCCAUGCUGUCUGUUUCUGUCCUCAAUUGCCUCUCUAUAUGAAUAUUUCCCUUCCUUUUAUAUAGGCUAUUGAUCUCAUGUGCCCCAUGACUCCUUUUCUAUUUUAAUGUAAUUUUG
rnacentral:lncRNA from 1 species